GAAAAAUUAGUUAAUAAUAUAACAUAAGCUUGUCACGCUUAAAUAAUCAGAUUCGCUGAUAUUUUUCG
rnacentral:tRNA from 1 species